rnacentral:lncRNA from 1 species
GAAAAACCUAGCAACUUUUUGCCUAUAAAUACUGGUCUUUAACUCACACAAAAAGGGGGGGGCAAUUUUGAAACUUCAGCAAAAAUACAAAAGAAAAAACCCUAAACCUGUCUUUUGUUUUCUCCAAACAGCUUACCCAAAAGAGCCGCCCCGCCCCCCGGUUUGAAAUUUUUUUGAACCUCCAGUCGUUGCUCCUUCUCGCCCAAGGCCCCUUCCCCUCUCGUUUUUUUUAAUUUUUUUUUUCUUCUCUUCAACCGGAGCCAAAAAUCACAGCCCCCAGCCGGUUUGAAUUUUUUUCUCAGCCACCCGAACACCCCCAUCACCAUCGCCGGCCUACAUCGUUUCUUCUCCCUUCCCCAGCCAAGGUAAGAAAAACAAAGUUGGCCGCUCCCCCCCCCUACUGGACUUUUGGAUUUUUCCUUCCCCACAACAGCUGCCCGAAACAUCACAGCCUUCGUCUCUAUCCCGUCGGACCCAUCAACACUGAAGCACCUCUCUCGGCAGCAUCUUCUUCUUUGAUCCACUCAGCAGCGACCCACAGCCUCAGCAGCGGCGCCCCCUCCAACACCGAACAGAGGCCCAGCAGCGGCGUCUCCUCAUCCCAUCGGCGCCGUCCACUCCAUCAACCAUAGCAGCGCCGCCUUCAACUAGCCACUAAUCCCUCGUCGCCCUCUGCAAACCGCCGAUCUGCCCUCCACGACAGUCUCCAUCUCGGCGGCGCUCCUCUCAGCCAUCAACAACCAUGGACAACAAUCGCCAGAUCUGUCACUGGAAGAAGGGAAGAACGACAAACUAUAACUGAAAAAAAGAAGACCGAAACAGAUCUGAAGGAAAGAAAGAAAUAAAAUCAACUGCCUUUUAUGCGUUUUUCUCCUCUUUGCAGGUGGCGGCGAUUCUCACCGCUGGAAGGGAAUGGAGGAAGAGAAGAAGCCGAGACAGACCCACAUGGUUUCUGGUAUUUUUUUCGGCGGCGCGUGAACCCACGCGCCGCCAGUGGCGGUGGCACAUGGGGAGACGCGCCGCCAGUGUCCAGCUGCCCAGAAGAUGCUCCCAGCACUGUUCCAGCGGGUUGCAGGAGUCCUUCCCUGCAAUUUCUAGAAUUUUAGGGACAUGUUUUUGUAAAUUUUAAAUUAUGUAAUGUAAUUUUUAUUUAUUUAUUUUGAAUUUCAAUUUGAAUUUUGUAUUUGUAUUUUGUAUGAUGGAUGUAAUAAAA